rnacentral:pre_miRNA from 1 species
AUCUUUACGAAUCCGUGCUGAGAUUUCGUCAGACACCAACCCAUUAGGGCUGAUCAGACUUCCAAGUAAAGUU